GAUGAACGCUGGCGGCGUGCCUAAUACAUGCAAGUCGAGCGAACAGACGAGGAGCUUGCUCCUCUGACGUUAGCGGCGGACGGGUGAGUAACACGUGGAUAACCUACCUAUAAGACUGGGAUAACUUCGUGAAACCGGAGCUAAUACCGGAUAAUAUAUUGAACGGCAUGGUUCAAUAGUGAAAGACGGUUUUGCUGUCUCUUAUAGAUGGAUCCGCGUCGCAUUAGCUAGUUGGUAAGGUAACGGCUUACCAAGGCAACGAUGCGUAGCCGACCUGAGAGGGUGAUCAGCCACACUGGAACUGAGACACGGUCCAGACUCCUACGGGAGGCAGCAGUAGGGAAUCUUCCGCAAUGGGCGAAAGCUUGACGGAGCAACGCCGCGUGAGUGAUGAAGGUCUUCGGAUCGUAAAACUCUGUUAUUAGGGAAGAACAAAUGUGUAAGUAACUAUGCACGUCUUGACGGUACCUAAUCAGAAAGCCACGGCUAACUACGUG
rnacentral:rRNA from 1 species